rnacentral:tRNA from 1 species
UAUGAGGUGGCAGAUUUAGAUGUGAUAAGCUUAGGACUUAUUUAGGUGCUCAUACCACCCUCAUAA